rnacentral:rRNA from 1 species
CAAGGAAUUUUCCGCAAUGGGCGAAAGCCUGACGGAGCAACGCCGCGUGGGGGAGGACGCCCUUCGGGGUGUAAACCUCUUUUCUCGGGGACGACGAGCGACGGUACCCGAGGAAGAAGGACCGGCAAACUACGUGCCAGCAGCCGCGGUAAUACGUAGGGUCCGAGCGUUGUCCGGAGUUACUGGGCGUAAAGCGCGCGCAGGCGGCUAUCCAAGCCCGGCGUGAAAGCCCCCGGCUCAACCGGGGAGGGUCGUCGGGGACUGGGUGGCUUGAGGUUGGCAGGGGUUGGUGGAAUUCCCGGUGUAGUGGUGAAAUGCGUAGAGAUCGGGAGGAACACCCGUGGCGAAGGCGGCCAACUGGGCCAUACCUGACGCUGAGGCGCGAAGGCGUGGGGAGCGAACGGG